rnacentral:rRNA from 1 species
UUACGGAAGGCAGCAGUGGGGAAUAUUGCGCAAUGGGGGAAACCCUGACGCAGCGACGCCGCGUGGGUGAUGAAGGCCUUCGGGUCGUAAAGCCCUGUCGGAGGGGAAGAACGAUUGCGGCGCAAAUAGUGCCGCGGUCUGACGGUACCCUUAAAGGAAGCACCGGCUAACUCCGUGCCAGCAGCCGCGGUAAUACGGAGGGUGCAAGCGUUGCUCGGAAUUACUGGGCGUAAAGGGCGUGUAGGCGGUGUCGUAUGUCUGACGUGAAAGCCCCGGGCUCACCCCGGGAAGUGCGUUGGAAACUGCGAGACUAGAGUCCCGGAGAGGAAGGUGGAAUUCAAGGUGUAGCGGUGAAAUGCGUAGAUAUCUGGAAGAACACCGGCGGCGAAGGCGGCCUUCUGGACGGUGACUGACGCUGAGACGCGAAAGCGUGGGGAGCAAACAGGAUUAGAUACCCCGGUAGUCCC